CACAGCUCCUCCAUCUAGAAACCUGGCAGCCGUCCCAGCUGGAUGCCACCUGCCAACACUUUUCUGAAGACCAGCCAGAGGAGGAAAGAACAGAAGGGCUGCGGGCUGAGGAGGGAGGGAAGAGAAGACGCACAACGAAUUGCGUUGGCCUUUAGCCCCCUUCGAUCUCAUGCUCCCAGAGUUAUGAAGAAGUGGGAACACCCCACUGGCUGGAAUGGUGGCCUCCCAUGCAGAAGAGGGACCUUGCAGGGAAAAGUGACCCCACAGCAGCUGGAGCUAAGAGGGGAAACUAUCCAAGGAGACGAGACGCCAGCGAGGACAGCCAGCUCUAGUCCACCAACGAGACCUCCCCAGGGGAGAGUGACUUCAAGUUCUCUGCUCUCCCACAAAGAAGUUGGGGACCAAAGAGAAGGAGACUUCUAGAUACAAGCAUCUUUUCCUGAGGAGGUAAGGGAGAGUAACUCCGACUCCAGUGCGUACUAGCUGCCAGCCCUGGGCUCAGAGUUUUGCGUGCGUGGCUUCAGUCCCCCUCCCAACCACCACCUGGGUGGGUAAUUAUUACUCCCUUCUUACAGAUGAGGAGCCUGGUGCCCAAAGUCACACAUCUAAUAAAGGGUGUAUCCGAGUUCCGCCCA
rnacentral:lncRNA from 1 species